GUCUUUUUGAAUUAAAUUUAAAGUCUAACCUGCCCACUGAAAAUUUUAAAUGGCCGCAGUAUUCUAACUGUGCAAAGGUAGCAUAAUCAUUAGUCUUUUAAUUGAAGGCUGGAAUGAAUGGUUGGACGAGAUAUUAACUGUUUCAUUUAAAUUUUUUAUAGAAUUUUAUUUUUUAGUCAAAAAGCUAAAAUAAAUUUAAAAGACGAGAAGACCCUAUAAAUCUUUAUAUUUUGUUUAUUUUAAUUAUAAAGGCAAUUUUUUUUCUAAUAAAUAAAAAUAUUUUAUUGGGGUGAUAUUAAAAUUUAAUAAACUUUUAAUUUUGAAAACCAUUAAUUUAUGAAUAAUUGAUCCAUUAAUAAUGAUUAAAAAUUUAAGUUACUUUAGGGAUAACAGCGUAAUUUUUUUGGAGAGUUCAUAUCGAUAAAAAAGAUUGCGACCUCGAUGUUGGAUUAAGAUAUAAUUUUGGGUGUAGCCGUUCAAAUUUUAAGUCUGUUCGACUUUUAAAUUCUU
rnacentral:rRNA from 1 species